rnacentral:rRNA from 1 species
AGAGUUUGAUCAUGGCUCAGGAUUAACGCUGGCGGCGUGCGUAACACAAGCAAGUCGAACGUCCUGCUCGCUACGAGCAGGGUGUGGCGGACGGGUGAGUAGCACAUGGGUGACCUACCCUCACGUGAGGAAUACCGGCGCGAAAGCGCCGACAAGACCGCAUAGGGCCGAGCUGCUCACACAGUUCGGGCAAAGGGGCUCUUUCGGGAGUGCCGCGUGAGGAGGGGCCUGUGGCCGAUUAGCUGGUUGGUGGGGUAAGGGCUCACCAAGGCGACGAUCGGUAGCUGGUCUGAGAGGACGAGCAGCCACACUGGGAUUGAGAACGGCCCAGACUCCUACGGGGGGCAGCAGUGAGGAAUUUCCGCAAUGGAGGCAACUCUGACGGAGCAACGCCGCGUGCAGGAGGACGCGCUUCGGUGUGUAAACUGCUUUUCUGUGGGACGAGGUUGGACGGUACCACAGGAAGAAGCCCCGGCUAACUACGUGCCAGCAGCCGCGGUAAGACGUAGGGGGCGAGCGUUAUCCGGAGUUACUGGG